ACAAACUGCUUGCUCCAGGCAGGCAGAAAGCUUAUGGAAAUGAUAUUAGACCUUCAGCAAAGUGCACAGCUGCAUCAUACAGAAGCCGAGACUCAAACUGACAGGCAAAUAAGCCAGAUCACGGAAGGGGCCUCUGUGUGGCAGCUCUGAGCUACCAAGUGUUGGACAACUAGGCAAAAAGUGCAAUGGAACAGGGCAGAAAAUAACACACUAACUUCAGGCAACUGUUGCUUUUUCAUGGUCUUUAGGGAUUUUACACUGCGUAUCUGGAAAAACAAGUCAACGUUUAAACACUAAGUCUACAGCUUGAAUGGCCUGGAAAGUAACAUUUUCUGUAGACGUCAGCUUCUUCUGGUGUGAUGCCCCAUUCUUCUGGUGACGCCACAUGCAGCACUGAGCAGCACUGGCAAAUGGAAGAGGUCUCUUGGAAGAAGGGGUAUGGCUGCCUUCCCCUUUCCCAGCGGGGCCCUGUUUGCCGCCUCACCAGCCGCAGAGCAAGAGAAGCCAACUUUAGGAGCAUGCAUAUUGUGAUAUCCUCAGCGAUUUCUUUUACAAUACGUUCUGCUCAGGCCAGUGAAUUUAGUUUAACAGAUCAGUAAAAGAAAAAAAAAGAAAAAGGAAACUGAAGAAGUUAAUUAUACCAGAAUUCAGCGAAGUAAUUGUGCAGAGCCAAGGAACCUGCCAGAGGUGGUCUAUGUUCAGGCACUGUCACACAAGCCUCUGCAGCAUGUAACCGAUUGUGCAGCUGCUUGAGACAACCGCAUGAAGAGUGCUUAGGUGCAGUGGAAGGAGCUCCGCUCACACAAGACUUGCUGAUUCGAACAGGAGCUGAAAAACUUGGGAGAAAAAUCACCCUCAUCUCCCACAGUCACAGUAGUAGGACUUCUGCUCACGGGGGUUCGUGCACUGCAGCUGCCCCUGAAGGAAUAAUCACGGAAGGAAUUGCUUUCAGAAGGGUGAUACUUUCUCAAUAAUAAUGACUGCUGCCUCCGUGCCAGAAGUGAGUGGAACUUGAGUGAAUGCAUUGCACAAGAGAAAACAGAGUGGGAAUAGCCCGGGGAGGAAGCACAUCGCCUCGCAAUCUUGAAAAGGAGUUAAUCACUUUGGAAUCCCCCCAGUUAUCGCUGAGCAGCACCUACACAGAGUCAAGAUCUUUGCUCCUCACACCACCCCAUCAGCAAGUAGGCUGGGGGUGCAGAAGAACCUGGGAGGGAACACAGCUGGGAGAGCUGACCUCAACUGGCCAAAGGGAUAUUCCAUACCACAUGACGUCAUGCUCAGCAAUAAAAGCUGAGGGAAGAAGAAAGGGAGGGCAUUGGGAGUUAAGGCAUUUGUCUUCCCAAGUAACUGUUACCUGUGAUGGAGCCCUGCUUUCCUGGAGAUGGCUGAACACCUGCCUGCCCAUGGGAAAGCAUGGUGUGGAGAAGACCAGCAACUUUUGUGCUUCAUUUCCUGACCCUAUAAACACUUACGGAUUUUGUCUGGUUUCAAGUGAGAAGACCCACUGACAUGCAGAGAGACUACUCUGGAGCUUAAAUUUAAGCAGGUGUGUAAGCGUUUGUGGAACUAGGGCUUUUUUAUAUUUAUUGACCGACAGGUUCAUUGCCCUACAGGGAGUACUUCAAAAGAGUACUUGCUUCCAGACACUUUUUUUCUUUUUGGAAAGACCACUUUUAGGUCUAGCCCUUGUUACAGCUCCACAGAUUUACACUGUGAGAAGGCCCGGAGUAGUGCCACAAAAGCGGGAAUUUGGGCAAGGUUGUAUGAUCAGCCAUGGUCUGAGUGAGGGCUUGUAGGCUGCAGUGAGUGGUUCCUCGUGCUGUCAAAAUGUGUAUUGCGUGUAUUGCAUGAUGGCCACAGCUCAACCUGUGAAAUACACUCCUGGCUGUGCUAGGAGAGGAGUUCUGACACAGUUUUGAAGAGACGAGCCAGAAGAGAAGUACGACAAUGGGACAGAGGAGAUGAUGCUGACAAUCGCAUUGUUUACAGGAGUCCUUUUGGGAGCUUUAGGGCUGCAACUGUUGCCCCAGCUACAGCUUUGCAGAGCAGCUACAAGUUGGUGUUUCUGAAGACCGCAGGCUGGCCUUUAUGCUGGGUCUGGGGAAACCUUCUCCAUCACAAUUCCUUGUACAAAGCUAUUUUUUCCGGGUUUAUGCUGAUACAAGGGAGGAGGGAAACACAUCAUCCUGGUUUUUACACAAGAUUUUCUUGUGUGAGCUGUAGAAAAAUCACAGUUGUCUUCUUGGGAUUCCCUUUAUCUUUGGAGGGGGUUUCCUAUGUCUUCUGUGGAACCAGAAUUUGUUCUUUUAUUAAUUAACUCCAAAAAGGACACUUUGAUACUAUGCUCUAAGUGACAUGCAUUAAAAAAAAAUCCUGAAAUUUCUUGAAUUUGCAUGUACAGCUCCUCUUAUUAGUAUUAUACUGUUAGCCAACUGACUACCAUUGAUGAAAUUUAUUAAUCCAUUGAAUUCUGUUUAUAAACUUCUUUCAAGUAAAUAAGACUUUGUGUAAGACAUCAGCUGUUAAAAUGGAUGAAGACUUUAACAAUUCUUAUUUAUGGAAGAAGAGGUAUUUCUUAUUGGUAAAAGUCUAUAAAAUCAGAUGGUCUAUGAAAAACAGUAUGCUAAAUAGACCGCUCUUGAGAUCUGCUGUUUCAUUUUUUGGCAUGAGUAUUUGUGUUAAAUUGUACAUUCACCUUGUAAAGUUCAUUCUUUCCUAACUACAUUAUACUGCUAUUAUAAGUGCUCCAGUUAAAAUGACACCUUUUUAUUAUAGGAUGGUCUGCUAAUAUAGCUACAGUAAAAACUCGUCAACUUUUCCAUUAUAAAUAUAAAUCCCUAUUUUCAGGGACUUUAAACUCUGCUAUAAAUACUCGUUCCAGGCUAACAUUUGGCAUACAAAGCCUCAUCCAAACAGCAAAGCUAUUUAUUAUAGAAUUACUUUAACCAUUUGAAAAUACUUUAUCACAGAAAAAGUGGAAAUAGUUGCAUGUUGGUUUUGAUCUGGCGGAUCCCUAGAGUCCGGGAAGCUGGGCAGGGAGGAAGGUGCUGGGGCAAGAGAGCUGGGUUGUGCUUCCUACUGAUGCUGCGUCGCUCCUCUGCACUGUCUGAUUCUGCUUAGGCCAGGCUGAGUUAAAGGGGCUUUUUGUCUUCGGGUGGUUUUGGUUUGGGGGGGCUUUUUCAACCAUUGCAUUUCUGGCACAGUCUUCCCAAGGAACUUCAAUUUCAUACCUGAAAAAUUACUUCUGACACCCUGUCAAUUUUUUCCUAUGGAAUGGAAAGUUCUUAAGUCCCUUCCGCUUCCGUAAGCUUCUCAAAAAUUUGAGUCCUACAAAGUAGGUGUGUGAGGUCCUUACUGGUAUAGUUUAAAACAGGAUUAUCUUGGCAACAGAGUAGUAAGGCUGCCCAGGCUUUUUCUACCUCACCAUAUCCUGUGGCUGCAUUCAGUGCUGAAAUUUAACAUCUUUCUGAAGAUUAAUACAGUUCUCUCAAAUUCUCUUUCUGUGGACACUGCUGCUAAGAAGCAUCUGGCAUGAUAUCUCUGAAAGAAGUAGUUUCAGACAUACUUCAGGUUGCAGUUUCAUGAUCAUUUUACACUGCCCUGGGUAGCAGCUCUUGCUGAAGGGACUCAGUUGUCUCACUUGUCCUGCCUGUCCUGGGAUUUUCUGCAGUUCCUCUAUCUGUGUAGUCAGUCAGCCAGACCCAGAAGCUGCUUUCACUGUGAUAAAACAAAAUACACAUGGGUGUGGGUUGGUUGGCCAGACAAGGUCCCUGCCCACCUUAUCAAGUGGCCCACAGGGGCAGUGGUCAUGGCCAGCAGGGCAUCAUGAAGGUCAGACUGUCCAUCUCCCACCAGCAGCCCUGUCUUGGCUCGUCUCAAAUGCAAUGAUGAAACUGCAGUCAGUGAUACUUAAUGGCUGCUUGAAGACCUUCCAGAGAGUGACUGCUAUGCCUUGCAGAGUGCCUGAAAGGAUUUUCCAAAGUUUUUUAUUUCCUUGGGGUGCCCACACGGAUAAAGUGCCCAGAGGCCCAGGUGUCCAUAGAAAAAAGAGCUUCCAGGUGGCCCGAUCGUCAGGCCGACACGGAGCAAAUUGCACCUUCUUUAGUCUAGGAGCAACAAAGGCUUAAAGACAGUGAGGCUGCCUGCAUUUGACAGCACUACACACAGCCUUGUUUGGCCACAAAUCUGUAUAUGUGCUCUGGAGAAGAGGGAAAGAGCAGGUGUUCUUGACCACUCAUAGCCUGACAAUGCAUGAGCUGAGAGCAGACCAACAGCAGACAAAAGCUUUAGCUUGCAAACCAAGUCAAAAGUGGGUGGGCUCUUAGACUUUGCUGCUUUUUAAUGACAAUUUGCUGGGCCUGCCUGUUGCAAACAGUUUCCGCAAGUACUUCAUAGCACUAGAAAGAGUUUGCGGGGGUUUUCUGUGGUUGGCAAAACCAAUCUGCUCCAGCAGGAAAUAUUUUAUUGUGCUCAAAGCUUUAUUCUGAAAGCCCCAGGGAUUAUAAAGUGAAAAGAAAACAAAGCAAGAAAAGCCCCUCUGCCUUCUCAAAAUUAGUUGUGAAAUUUCUCGGAGGUCUCCCUUUCGCCUGUGCCUGCCGAGAUGGCCUGAGGCGUCACCUCAAUCUCUGCCCAUGCCUUCACUCUGCCGGCACGCUUCACUUGUCCAGGAGAGUGGAAGGAAAUGCUGAUAUUAGGUGCAGACUCUUGCUGACUGGUAUGAGCCUUUAUACCCUUUUAAAUAUACUACUUUGUUCUCUUUGGCUGCUUCUUGAGAUCCCAAUUUUUUUUCCUCCCUGGAAGCUGUGUGUGUUCCCACUCUUCUGCCUCCUCCCCACUCAGUCCCAGUGUCCGUGUACCUCUGCUAUUCUUCCUCUCUUGUGUGUUCCUAACUUCUUUUUCUUGCAUCCAAGUUUACCAAGACUUCCUCAGUAGAAACUGCAAAGUCCAGCAGUGUGCCCAGGUGGCCAAGAAAGCCAAUGGCAUCCUGGCUUGUAUUAGAAAUAGUGUGACCAGCAGAAGUAGGGAGGUGAUUGUCCCCCUGUACUCAGCACUGGUGAGGCCACACCUUGAGUAUUGUGUCCAGUUUUGGGCACCUCAAUACGAGAGAGAUAUCGAGGUGCUGGAGCGAGUGCAGAGGAGGGCAAGAAAGCUGGUGAAGGGCCUGCAGAAUAAAUCUUACGAGAAGCGAUUGAAGGAGCUGGGACUAUUUAGUUUGAGGAAGAGGAGGCUGAGGGGAGACCUCAUCGCUCUCUACAACUACUUGAAAGGGCAUUGUAGAGAAGUUGGUGCUGGUCUCUUCUCACAGGAAUUAGCGAUAGAACAAGAGGCAAUGGGUUCAAGCUGCAGCAGGGUAGGUUUAGCUGGACAUUAGGAAAAAAUUCUUCACAGAAAGAGUGGUCAGACACUGGAAUAGGCUGCCCAGGGAGGUGGUGGAGUCACCAUCCCUGAAUGUGUUUAAGACCCGUUUAGAUGUGGUGUUAGGAGACAUGGUGUAAGGGAGAGCUUUGUAGAGUGGAGUUGAUGGUUGGGCUCGAUGAUCCCAAGGGUCUUUUCCAACCUAAAUGAUUCUAUGAUUCUGUGAUUCUAUUCUGUGAUUCUAAGUCCUUCUUAAGGAUGCUGCCAACGGGGAAAAAAAAAAGCUAUGGUGGUUAUGGAGUGAUGUAAAAGUUGCAGGGCCUUGAAUACAUAGGUGUGGUGACAACUGGUGAAGAAGUAAAGGUUAUGAUAAAUAGAUCUGGGACAUUUGAAAGAUUUGAGGGUUGCUUUAUUUCUCAGGCAACUUUUUUUUUCCCUUUGAGUUAUUCAUAAAAGCCAAAUAUGGAAAAAUAGAAUACGUAGAGAAGAUUUGCUUUUAUUUUGGAAAAACGCAAUUGUAAAGCAACUGUAAAGCAAUUGUUAACAAAAAGCCUUUUUACACGACCAUUGUCAUUUUAUUCAAAAUCAUGUUUUGUUUGAUAUUAAAAAAAAAAAAGGCAUAAAGACUUUCAUGAAGGGCAAGCCAAUUCUGCAUUUCAGACUUGCUGGUCUAUGUAUCUUUAAGAUCAGUGAAGCCCACAUGGAGUUGUAUUACAUACGGGUAAGGCUUAUUAUGUUAUUAUUUGAGUUUAUCGUCAAGUAAGUGAGACAGGGAUUUAUUCAUGGACCACCCUGUUUAAGCCAUUUCUUGUCUUAAAGAAACCAAACCGAAGUAUUCCCACAAGUAUUGAAUGCACUCUGCUGCUUUGACUUCAGAAAAAGACCACCUCUGUUAAGCAGUGAUUUAUUUUUUUUGUUGGUCUCUUGGGUGACCACUGAUGGCAGAUAUUUCUGUGUUUCCUAUGGUAGAAGCAAUAUGUUCUGAAAUAUUUUGGUUAUGUUUAAAGUAUAUGUAUGAAAACGUGAUAUAUGUUAAAGUGAUGUAUGGCAAAAAAUAAUAUUGAUAUGCAUAUUGGAUAUAUCAAGAGGAAAUGUGCAAGGUAUUUUCAUAAGCAUAUGUUCUACUUUAUUUGGGAGAGGAAUAUUGGAGAGGAUGGGAACACUUAUGAAAAUGUAUGGAAGCCUUUUAUAGUGUGUUGAAGCAAUUUUUCUGAUAAAAGUUUGGAAAAUAUCCAAAAAUGUUAUGGUACAUAA